rnacentral:rRNA from 1 species
CACGUAGGGCGCAAGCGUUGUCCGGAAUUAUUGGGCGUAAAGAGCUCGUAGGCGGUCUGUUACGUCUGCUGUGAAAACCCAGGGCUUAACCCUGGGCUUGCAGUCGAUACGGGCAAACUAGAGUAUUGCAGGGGAGACUGGAAUUCCUGGUGUAGCGGUGAAAUGCGCAGAUAUCAGGAGGAACACCGGUGGCGAAGGCGGGUCUCUGGGCAAUAACUGACGCUGAGGAGCGAAAGCGUGGGGAGCGAACAGG